AGUCCCUGCUCUGGUCCUUCUUCUGCUUCGUGCGGCGGUUCUGGAACCACACCUUGACCUGGGGAGGGGUGGGGGAGGACCGGGAGGGGAGGGAAAGGAAGGCACGGACGGAAAGAGAGCGCGGAGGGGCCGGGGAGAGAGAGGCGAGAGCCAGGAGAGAGCGAGAGAUACGAGAGAGAUGUAUUAAAAUAAACGGGCAAGCGAGAUCCGCCCUCCGCCGCUUCCAGGGAAAACGGGAGAAUUCAGGAACAGGGACAGGAAUCCAGGGAUGGGAACCUGGGGAUGGCUCCCCAUGGAUGGAAUCCCAGGAAUGGGGAUCCCAGGCUCCUGUCCUUGGGAGCCCGGGGAUGGGAACCCAGGGAUGGGAACCUGGGGAUGGGAGCCCAGGAAUGGGGAUGCCAAGCUCCUGUCCCUGGAAUGGGAUCCCGGGAAUGGGAUUCAGGACAGGAGCCCAGGAAUGGGGAUGCCAGGCUCCUGUCCUUGGGAUGGGACCCCGGGAAUGGGACCCCAGGAAUGGGAUUCAGGACAGGAGCCCAGGGAUGGGAGCCUGGGGAUGGGAGCCCAGGGAUGGGGAUCCCAAGCUUCUGUCCCUGGGACGGGACCCCAGGGAUGGGAUUCAGGACAGGAGCCCAUAGAUGGGAACCCAUGGAUGGCACCCCAGGAAUGGGAUCCCAAGCUCCUGUCCCUGGGAUGGGACCAUGGGAAUGGGAACACAAGGAUGGAACUUGGAAAAGGAGUCCAGGAAUGGGACUCGGGACAGGAACCCAGGGAUGAGAACCCAUGGAUGGGAGCCCGGGAAUGGGGAUCCCAGGGAUGGGGAUCCCAGGCUCCUGUCCCUGGGGUGGGAGCCCAGGAAUGGGAUUCAGGACAGAAGCCCAUGGAUGGAAUCUCAGGAAUGGGGAUCCCAAGCUCCUGUCCCUGGGGUGGGAGUGGGGGAUGGAUCCCCAUGGAUGGGAUUCAGAACAGGAGCCCAUGGAUGGGAACCCGUGGAUGGGAGCCCAGGAAUGGGAAUCCCAGGACCCCAGGAAUGGGCACCCCAGGGAUGGGAUUCAGGACAGGACCCCAGGAAUGGGACCCCAGGGAUGGGAUUCCGGGCACCCCAGGCUCCUGUCCCCGGGAUGGGACCCCAGGGAUGGGACUUUGGGGUCGGGAAGGAGCCCAGAGCUCGUGCCGUGCUCGGCUCUCCCUGCGCUGUUUUUCCCGGGAAUGCUGAGCUACGGGACAGGCUGGAUUCUCCUCAACCCCAAACUGGUGUCCCCGGCUGUGACCCCUUCCCUGGCCGGGACACAGGGUGACACGUGAGGGCACGGGGUGGCUUCUGGUGGCCCUGAAUUCCUGGCUCCAGACCCAGCUGGGGACCCCUGGCCGAGGUCAGGAGGGAAGCCGGGCUGAGCCCCGCGGGAUCCCCG
rnacentral:lncRNA from 1 species